GACCUGGCUUCUCACUGAAUAAAGAUCAAAUAGUAUGCAGAAGUCUGCUGACAGUUUUUAUUGCCCUCCACGCUGCUUUUUUUCCGCCACUGCAGGCUCCACGCUGGGCGUACGCACUGGCUGGCGUGAACAUCUUUCUCUUCCAAACCUGUGACUCCGUAGACGGGCGGCAGUGUUUGAGGCACAAGACAAAGCUGAAUUGGCAUCUGCAGCUUGCUGAACUAUUCGACCAUGCUUGCGACUCGAUCACCAAAGUGUGUGUCACCAUUGAGUUUGGUAUCUGCAUGAAGAUAGGCGGUCGGCCGGAUCUCUUUGUACCGUUUAUGCUGACGGCAAUGUUCAUGUUUUUUCACGGCACACUGGCAGACCUACAUCUCUGGAUUGGUGCGAUUUACCACGCAUUUGCGUUGGAGUGGAGGGAGCUGAUAAUAAUUGCAACAGCGAUGUCGAGCAUUUUAAAGUUUUUCAACCAAGCUGCCUUUGUUUGGGGACGGGGCCACCGUGUCACAAUUGCUGGCACUAGUUUGUUUGGACCAUCACUGCAUAUCGCCACAGCCUUUCUGCUUACAAUUGUCACCAAGGUCAUGACCAAUCUGUAUGAGCGUCAACCCUGUGUCUUCCUGAUCAUCUUUGGACUGAUUGAGGCCAAGAUGUCCAACCAGUUCAUGACUGCCUACAUGUACAAGUCCAAGGUGAAGCUUCUUGAUAGCACACUUCUCGGUCCGCUGAUUCUGUGUGUAAACAUCUACUGAAUGAACCUAUCCAGGGAUACGCUCUGCUCUGGAUAGUCAUGGUGUACUGCGCAGCGGAUUGGCUGUUGUACUUUAGACGUGUCAGUCUGGGGAUGUGCCGCCUGUUGCAAGUCACAUGCUUUGGAUCGUACAAAUUUGAAGAUUAAUAAAUCAAUUAGGUAUUACUGAACAGCAACAAACAAGUUGGAAGCAAAAAUGUUUGGAAGUGGCGGCGAGAGAGAUGCUCUUUAGGAGAGCAAACACUGUGGCAUUCUUAAACAGCAAGGCAACCCUUAUUUUAUUGGGUUUCAAAACUUUUUUCGAAUCUAUGUUGUUUUUCAUGUAACAGGUGAUGGGAUUAUAUUUUUGUAGUAUGGAUAAAAGCCUACUCGAAACAUCAAGAACCACAUGAUCGCACAUUGCCAAAAGUAUUAGUGCCAUUUAUUGAAUAAAACAAAGUUGCAGUAGUGUAUUUGCCACAUGGUCCAU